rnacentral:rRNA from 1 species
AUGGUUAACGAGGCGAUCUCCCUCGGCACUUGGACACGGGACAUCAGCCCCGAUAUGGCAUUCAUAGCUCUGGUGGACUACUUGGGGGUACGGCCACGUCUGCAAGGGUUCCAGUUACAGGAGAAUGUCCUCGACUCCAUCUCUUGGUCGUGGGAAUCAAACGGACAGUUCUCGGUCUGCUCCGCCUACGCUGCUUUGUUCGCCGGUAGGGAAGUGGUACCAACCGCGGACUUCUCAUGGAGGUCUCGGGCCCCUCUCCAGUGUCGUUUCUUCACCUGGCUAGCUAUGAGAAAUUGAUGUUGGACUUCUGACCGACUCGCCCGACAUGGACUUCUGCAUCAAGAUGCGUGUCCUUUCUGUGACUAG